UGCAAUCGAGUGGGAUCCAGCCCCAGAUGCCAAGACCCCAUAGCGCAGACUUUCUUGAAUAUGAGUCAAAGAAUGAAAUGCUGAAUAGAUCCGUGGCCAACAGAACUGCCGGUAAUUUACCGAGACAGCCACAAAGGCCUAAAUCUAGUUUAGAUAUUAACUCGUCGUAUGACCCUAGUUCAGAUAGGUAUUAUUCAGAAGAAAGUUACGCGGAAAAAAUGCGCCAAAGUGCUCAAUAUUUACAGCAAGGGUUAGGACCCCGAAACAUCCAAAUUCCUUUAGCUAAAUAUGCGAGUGGCUUGGCAGAAAAACAACUGCAUUCUCCAUACUCACACACCACGAACAAUAAUUAUGAAACAGAAUUUGGAAGUCCUAGGAAUAAUGGUGACAACUUAAGUAACCAUUUGAAAUACAACGAAGCGUUGAAUUCAAACUGGACGUUAAAGAAUAAAGAUCCUAAAGAAUACCUCAAUAGAAGUGGAAGUGUAAUGAGUGAUGGCUCUAACAUAAGUGGCUACGCGAAGGGUAUUAGUAGAGUGGAUACAAACGUUGAAGGAUUUAUGAGAUCCGCAAGUGCACGAUUACCCUCAACAGGACCUGAACGAGAGGGCGAAAAGAAAGUACAACAGCGAGAAGAAUCAAUGAAGCGAUUACUGGAAUGGAAACAGCGAAUGUUACAGUCACCUUUAACACGGAAAAGUACUCCAGCCACUAUCUCUCUCGCCCGAUCUCUAAAUCAGAGUCGGCAGUCGUUAAAAGACUAUAAAUCGAAGACCUACGCUAAUGCGUCAUAUAACAGCUAUUCUUCCGAUGAUGAAGCUUCAAUGACAAUCACUGGCAAUAAUAUGGAAUCGGGAACAAAUAAUUCGAAUCAACAAACGUUGUCCAAAAAAGCUUUCCUCGGAAGUAAUACAUCUAUUGGAAGAAGUAAUAGAGAUAGUAAUAUACCUGUGCGAGCCGUGAGUCCCAGAGUUAGAUGGGUAGAAGAAAAACCAGCUAAUGACCAAUACUCAGAACAUCUGACAGCUUCACAACAAAACUUAAGAAUUUCAAAUGCGACAGAAGAUGCGUGGGCAACGGGUAGAUCUCCAUCUAGAGCUUCACAGCAGCCAAUUAGAGCGGUUAGUCCAAGAGUUCGAAGGAACACGGAACAAGACGACAUGCUAAGGGAACAUCAGUCGAACCAGCAGUUGGGUGAAGUUCCAACGGCUGGGGAACUACUUGGCCGAACUCACGAAGAAUUGGUGUUACUUCUGAUUCAAUUACGGAGACGACAUGCAGCUACUCAUCGAGCCAUCGAACAGUGCUGUGCUCAAAUUAAUAGUAUCAAGGACUGUCUUAGUUCUCUGAAAGCUAUGGAGCGAGAAGAGAGUCUGCAAAGACUUGAACAUUUGAAAAUGCAACUGAUGGAACUAGAACACCAGUACGAAAAAAGCAAGCCGCUUGUACAGUUGGUGGAUAACAUGGUUAAACUGGGCUCCUUGUACAACAGGCCAGGAUCCACAGUCGAGCGGCUUGAGAGAAAUCAAAGGUUGAGACAGAAAGUGCUGGCUGAACAUGCGUUGGAACAACAAAGGUGGCUAGAGAGUGCUGCAGCAGGCAAACAACUGGAAACAGAAGCUGCUCGAGCGAGAGUGGCCGAGUUGUGGGCCUUAGAACAAGAGCUGGCCGACGAAGCCGCCAUUUUGCAGGGGUUGAGGACAGAUAAAGACGCAAUUGAAUCUUUACUUACAGGUGUUCGUGGUAAACUAGACAGCGUGCAAACCAGAAGCGAUCUGUCCCACAUCACGAACCAGCGCGUGCCGGGGCCCGAGCUGGGCGGCGGCGGCUCGCUGGAGGCCGAGCUGGCGCGAGUGCACGCCAUGCUGGCACUUAAUUCUAAGGUUUAUAAGAAAUUAGAGCAGACCGUGGCGGACAACGCGCGGCUGGAGCGCGAGCUGCAGCAGCUGCGGCGCGCGCUGCAGGCGCGCCGCGCCGCCGCGCCCGCGCACCCGCCGCCCGCGCACGCCACCGCCAUGCUCGAAGACGAAGUAUCCCGGGUGCAGCAGCUAGUGUCAGCUUUGCAACGCCAACGGCAGGAGCUCAGUCGGGCGGUGAGGCAUCUCACGCAACAGUCUCAAGCUUUGCAGACCACCCACGAUUCUUUACCCGGUAAACGUCGUCCAACUUCCUCAUGGCAAGAAACCAAUUUAGAUACUGGCCAUACUACCGACCACGGCAACUCUGAUUAUGACUACGACAUGGGCAGUGGAGUCAUGUCUCCUGGCAAUUACGAAAGCAGCAACAUGGACGUUCCACUGUAUGUGGACACGAGAGGAGGGGGAAACGACGUCAUGUCUCCAAUGACCAGUGAGGAAAUGCAAAAUGGCGGAUUUGCAAACCUGUCCAAUGUGGAAAAGCAGGAGAUCAAAACUGUACGCAUAGUGAAACGCGAAAGUGAAAGACGUCAAAGAGAUAGAGAGCGUUCUCUACAACCCAUGUCCGACUGGCCUUCCAAUAACAUCACUGCCAACCUUGACCAGUUUUUAGAAGAGGAGCUCAUCCAGUCUUCCAACUACUCCAGAGCUUCGUCUGUGCCUCGAACUGAUUUUAGCAAAUUUGAAGAAUACUAUUCCAAGCCUCAACCUGCCGAACCUCCAAAUUAUCUUCGACUGAACGACAAAAUGUCUUCCAUGGAACUUAGUCCUAAAUAUCCAUCAAGCCCGUCCCUAUCAAACUAUGAUUAUUCUCGAGACAUAUCAUCACUUAGUAGCAGUUACAAUAGAAGUUACGAGAAGUCUGGGUACGAUAAAACUAUUUCGAUUUCGACUCAAUAUUUGAACAGCCCCACGGAUAGUGCUAGAACUCUGACCAACGAUCCGCUGUCAAAAACGAGCAGCAUUGGCAGCUUAACGCGAUCGCAUAUGGAGUUGUCGCCUAUCUUCAAAAGCGAGGCGGCGAAACAGAUCAUAACUGAGAUGUCCGGCGAUGUGCCUAGGAACGGGUCUCUGCACAGGAGACAGGUGCCGAAGGAGAAGAGGAGGCAUUACACAGCACCACAUCAUCUAAGUGCAAAAACUCUGAACGAAAUGCCAAAGGAGGCGUACAACCAAGAUAAGCUGGGGCGGUCGCUGGACGACGCGGACAUGGAGCGAGCGCUGCGCGCGCCGCCCGACGUGGUGCGCUCGGCGCUGGCGCCGCCGCAGCGCUACGCCGACUCCAUCGACCAGCUGCUGGCCGCGCCGCAGAAGAUCCUCAUACCGGAGCGCUACAUCCCGGAGAAGCCUCCUGAACUAUCACCCGAAGAACAACAGAAGCGCCAAGAGAAAGUUGAGUCGAUCAAAAAAAUGCUUUCUGGUUCAACUGAUCCCAACACCAAGAGCCCGGACGGCGAAGAGAAGCGGCAGCGCGAGCACCUGCUGCAGAUGAACCAGCUGCUCGCCAAGCAGGUCACCGAGAUGAGCAAAAUCAUCGCCGGAACCAACACUGAGCAAGGCCCGACCGCAAACAGCAAAUAAUUAUGCCAUUUACAUACAAAUCUCACGUACAAAAUAGUUUACAUCAAUACAUCAUCCCUAAUUUUAAUAGCCCUAAUAAGUGAAUUUGUUAGUAAAUUGGCUUGAACAGCUGUCGUCUGAAGAACUGUUGCAGCAUGGUUUCGUUUUUGCAUUUUGUUUGAAAGCGUUAGAAGAGUUGCCGCAGCGCAACAACGCGGACGACCUGGACGACCGCUCUCCAGACGUGGAAUUGCCUAUUUAUCAGCAAAGGGACAAUUUCUUUACUUAAACAUCAAAAUAGAAUGUGUUGUCGGAUGAUAGGUAUAUUACUUUCAGGAUAUAUUGUAUUUGAAGAACGAUGGUUGACUUGUUGUUAUUUAUAAAACUAUAUAAAAGAAUAAUCACUGUAAUGCUAUUGCUAUGAUAGUGCGGUGUGGGUUAUAUCUAUGCUGCGUAGGCUUUGUACUGUAUUUAGUACUUUAUACGAGUAGCUAUAGAUUGGAAAGUUUUGGAGUUCCUCGUCGAGGGCGGUUUAACUCUGAUGUAUGUACCUAUUAUCCUUAGACCUGUCUUUAGGCGAUUACCACACAGAUGUCGCCGACGUCACCUAUAACCGCCUUAUGUAUACUUUACUAAGUAGGAUAAGAUCAACUUAUAGACUUAUCGUGUUGUAGUUAAUAAUUUUUAAUCAAGUUGUACGGGCUUUAAAUACUUUAUAGUGAUACCUACACUUAGAAAAAUCAAUACAAGUUUAUACUUCUUGGACUACAGAAAUGACAUUCAUCUUUUUGACUAUACAUUUUAGCUCAGUUAUUUCCAAUUCCAGUAUUAUACUUCAUGUUAUACCUACUGAUAGCGGAAAUGUUAUGUGCAAUGCGAAUCCCGGACAAACGACCGGAAAAUGCUAAGAUUAUAGGCGGAGGACCGGAAUAUAGGUACUUAUGUGAUUGCCGGUCAAGAAAAUAUUAGACUAAGGUACUACUACAUACUAUUUCAAGUUUGAUGAACACACACAUUCGAGUUAUGGAAUAAAAUUGUAAGAGGUUUCUAUGCACCAAGUCCGACCACUACAUUUCCACUGUUUUGAAUUGUGUGUGGUGAGUACACGGUAUGUAGGUAUGUUUAUAAUGGUGUUUUUCAGUACUUAAUGUUCGUUAUAUGAUAUAGACUGAUCCUGACCUGUACUUCGUUUAUUGUUGUAAUUGCGUAACAUGUACAUUGUACGUGUAGGCACUGUAUGCUGACGCGCGUUUUCGAGAUUCUGCAUAUCAGAAUAUUCAGAGUACGACAUUUUUUGCGAAUGGUGAAUAACUAGGCGUUUAAGUCUGAUGAAUGAAUUAUCAAUUUCGAGAAAAGCUGACUGAGAUGACCAAUGUUAAGAACAAAGUAACCGAUCAAUUAAUAACAUACCUGCUUAUUUACUUCAUUGUAGGUUUCUUAUGUAUUAGUGUUUGCUCAAUUUUAACAACAUUCCUUCAAAAGUUUAUUUGAAAUAUAUAUUGUAGAUAAUAUAUAUGUUUAUACUGGUAAUAUAACAACUUUCAUAAGUACUAAAUUAUAUACCUAGUACGUUUUAUAGGUCAGUUGUUUUUAUUUUUUCUACAUAAUCAUUACAAGAUAAGUAUUCUAUGUCAAAUGCCUUGGAUUGUUACUUAGAUAAGGUUCUAUGUAGUGAAUCGUAGCUGUAAGACGAUGCCAUGUUAAUCAGUUAAAUAAAUAUAGUACCUAAAGCACAUUAUCUAAUAUAAUUACUGAACUUAAGAUGAGAAAUCGAAUUAAAAUACGUUUUAGUAUUAUUUCGUUUCUUUUAUUUGUUGGUAGGUACCUACAAUAAGUUCUGUCUUAUUUUUAAGUUUUGUAUUUUAUUGUAGAAACUUAUUAUUACAAAAAAUUAUGACUAUUAUGAUUAUAUUUUUUUAUUUAUGACAUGCAUAAUUAGAAUAAAUUGUCAAUUUGUAGCAAGUAGCAUUAAAUAACUGAUUAUACCAAUUACCUACUAUUGUUAAUGGGCAUUCUUACUAUGUAAAGACUUUACCUAAUAUGCCUCUUCUCAUAUCAAUUAGUCUUGUUCUAAAUAUGAUUAGCAAUAGGCGAUGGAAUGACAGACAAAAUCAGUUAAUUUAAUCGGAACUUCAAUCACAUUUCGAUCUCUUAUUGAUGUAUAUUAUAUUGGAGUCGACAAGAUGCUAGCGAAAAAAUCGGUAAUAAUUAGGCACGUAUGUGUAACUAGAAAACAAAUUCUAGAUGUCAAUGCCCGGUAGGCAAUAGGUACGAGUCCUAUCCUCAGGCAGUGCAAAUUGGUAGUGUGGCACUUAUGAUACUCGUACAUAAUAUACCCGUACUGACUGUAGGUGCAAUAUCUAAUCGAUGCCGGGCAUUGGUAGGACAUUAGGUACUUAUGUGCAAUAAUUAAAAGGCGUAUAUUGCCAAUCAAGCUUUAAAUAGUGACUGUUGCUCGGCCUCAUAAUGUUGCAU